CAGAGGGUGCAAGCGUUAAUCGGAAUUACUGGGCGUAAAGGGCGCGUAGGCGGUUGUAUAAGUUAGAUGUGAAAUCCCCCGGGCUUAACCUGGGAACGGCAUUUAAUACUGUAUGACUAGAGUAGAGUAGAGGGAAGUGGAAUUUCCGGUGUAGCGGUGAAAUGCGUAGAUAUCGAGAGGAACACCUGCGGCGAAGGCGGGUUGCUGGGCUGACACUGACGCUGAUGCGCGAAAGCUAGGGGAGCGAACGGGAUUAGAUACCCCGGUAGUCCUAGCCUUAAACGAUGAAUGCUUGGUGUCUGGGGUUUUAUAGUCCCCGGGUGCCGUCGCUAACGCUUUAAGCAUUCCGCCUGGGGAGUACGGUCGCAAGACUG
rnacentral:rRNA from 1 species